rnacentral:rRNA from 1 species
GACGAACGCUGGCGGCGUGCUUAACACAUGCAGGUCGAACGGAAAGGCCCUGCUUUUGUGGGGUGCUCGAGUGGCGAACGGGUGAGUAACACGUGAGUAACCUGCCCUUGACUUUGGGAUAACUUCAGGAAACUGGGGCUAAUACCGGAUAGGAGCUCCUGCUGCAUGGUGGGGGUUGGAAAGUUUCGGCGGUUGGGGAUGGACUCGCGGCUUAUCAGCUUGUUGGUGGGGAGUGGCUUACCAAGGCUUUGACGGGUAGCCGGCCUGAGAGGGUGACCGGCCACAUUGGGACUGAGAUACGGCCCAGACUCCUACGGGAGGCAGCAGUGGGGAAUAUUGCACAAUGGGCGGAAGCCUGAUGCAGCAACGCCGCGUGCGGGAUGACGGCCUUCGGGUUGUAAACCGCUUUCGCCUGUGACGAAGCGUGAGUGACGGUAAUGGGUAAAGAAGCACCGGCUAACUACGUG